AGAUCAUCUGAUGGGGAUUCAAAGUGGGAACAAUUGCUACCAGUACUGGGAACACCAGGGACAUGACCACCCUGGCUUCAUACUGUGAGUUAUCACAGGAAAGAAGUGUCAUGAGAAAUGAAAGGAGUGCUAUGCUAAUCUCACAUUUGCAACGAUCAGCAUCAGCUAGUUAUUAGCAAGUCAAGAUUCAUUAACUUAAAGGCUGAAACCUGGCUGCUCAGGUUUCACUGUUAGCAUGAAGAGAGCAUCCAGGUGGAGCCUGCUGCCCUAUCUUCUGCCACUCCCACUGCUACUGCCUCCCACUGAGCUGUUCACCUGAAACUGGACUCCAAGGAUGAUUUGGCGGGAAUGGGCCCCUUCCCCUCUUUCAUAAACCAGUGUCUGGGAAUAGUAAAAUUGAACCUUGAUCA